rnacentral:lncRNA from 1 species
GCCUCGCAAGUGGAUGUAGGUCAUUUGACCGAACCACUUUAAAAUCGGCGUAAUCUCCGGUUUGCGUUUAUGUUUAUGCAUUUAUCUUUCUGUAAACCUUUACUUUGCUAAGUUCACUGCCCUCAUCUUAUUACGUACGCUUUCAAUGCAAUUGAAACGGUUUCAAACGAAAUAUUAUUUUUAUCGUACAAAAGAUUUUC